UUCAUCCAGCCCUGCAGGAGCACUGGUUAAUGGAGCUUUACACAGGAGACCCAUAUGUUUACAUCGUGCUUUUGUUUAUGUUUCAUUUCUGUGGAAUAGAGGGAAUGAAGCAAGACCUCUUGCACUGGGAAAAUAUUAUCUGAGAGCAAAGCAAAAGGAAAGUGUUGAGGAUGAAUUUCAGGGACUACAGCACAGAUGAUGUUUUUUGACAUAGCAGCAGCAAGUAAAUUACUCUCCUAGUGGUACUUGGCAAGAGGGCUCUCCACACAGAAGUGUAGCAGACUCACAGCUGCACUGGUGUUGUCAGAUACAUUUCAUCCCUUCUGGAAUGGGUCCUUGGCAGUGUGUGCAGGGUUGGGCGCACACACUUGGUGGUGCUGACUAAUUGCUCCUGAAGAGAGCAGUCAGCCAAGACCACUGCCCUCCCAGCACUGUAGUCACUAAACCCCCAUCUCCACUCCAUGUUUUGGCAACAUAAACAUCCUCUGGGAUGCCCCAGGCUCUGGGCUACCACAUGGGAGCAAGCCCCUUUACUCCCCACUGCACAGGAAAGCUGGUGCCCAGCUGAGGAGCCCCUGGGACAUGUUAGCCUGGGAAACUGCUGUCAUCACUUUUGUCACAGGCUUUUGUCUUUUGCUGGCUGUGAAGUAAUCCUAGGGUGAUGAUGGUAGAAGAAGGGAUACUGGCUUGAAUGCAAAACGCUGUUAAGACUGCUUUAUUCUCAGGAGGAUUGGCUGAACACCUCACUAAAUCAACGCAGGGAGUGGGCAUUUAAAUGGCUGACAAGAAGAUCCAGAAAGAAAUUCUUUGAAAAGGAUUGUAAAUAAGGUCAUUGUAGGUCAGCAGCCAUCUCUAGUUCCAGUAGAGAACUAUAUCUGACAUAGCUUCUUGCAGGAGUAUUACUGCUUUCCUUAAAGGCUGGACUAAGAUAAUGGGAGGUGGUCUAGCAACUUAGUUUCCAUGUUGCCUUGUAUUAUUUGGACAACCCUAAACAUUGUUUAUCCUGUGAUCUUGCCCCUCUGGGUCUCCCAACCACAGCACAGUGGUCAUCCAGACAAGCAUUUUGCAGGGAUACAAGGGUCCAAGUGCACCAGCUCUAUGCAGUUCCAUGUAUUAACUGCGUUACACUGAGCCAAUGUACCUAAACACAAGGAGAAGGAACUGUGGUUUCCCAUUCCAGCACAUGUUGUACCCUCUUUAUGGCAUUGUCUGCUCUGUGCCACUGUGUCUUUGUGGUGUAUCUGCUCUAUACAGACUUUAGCUGAGUUAGCUGCAGAGCCAAAAGCCAGGGAUGUGCUGGAAGUAACUGAUCAACCUUGGUCAAAACUGCUGUUGAAAUCACAGUCAGUUCCUGAAACAGUAGAUAAGACAUCCUCCAGUCACUGGCAUCACUGCAUCUGUCUUUUGAGGGCAGCUGUCUGCUCUGUCUCCUGUUCUCAGCACCUCCUUCUCCUCCUACCACCUUAGUCCCCAGCCCCUCCCUUAUCUAAACCCCUGGGAAAGUCCACUCAGGAUCUCCAGUGAAGGAGCAUGUAGGUGCUAACCAACCAGCCUGCUCCUGGUGCCUCCUGAGCACCUCUGCAGAGCUCUACACAGUGUGGGCUUGUCCCCUGCACGCCCCACCGUAUGCCCACAAGUGACUGGAGAGCUGCUGAGGAAGUGAUGAGGGCUGGCCGCAAAUACAGAUUGAGUCCUGGCUGUGAACUUGACAAUCAGGAACUGCAAAAUGCUUCUGUGGCCUAAAGCAGCAUUUUCAGUGCUUUUUAUUCUCUGGGGUUUCUUUUGCUUUGUUCACACCAGAGAUCACUGAUAACAGAUGAGAAAAGGGAAGAGGAGGAUUUCUCAUUUGCAAACACGACACUCCGCUUCCAGCAGAGGAGGUUUUGCAAAUACUUUGUAAGCAGGAGAGCAAAAACUCACCAUGGAAAAUGCACCAGGCUCUACCCCCACAGUACCUGCAUGAUGAUGUCCAGCUGGCUGACAGGAACAGGCUUUCUUGAGCUUAUUUUCUGCUUACUGUCACCAGGAGGUUUUGAACAUGCACAUGUCACACCCCAGGAAGAUCUGUAGCUGCAUGACACAGAACAGAAACUGUUUCUGUGAAAGGAAGAAAACAACUUUACAGACUGGGAAGGAAACAAGCAAUCUGGGCCAAGAGUCCAAACUCUUUCCCCUGAAUGCUUUCCCAGUCUCUAACCUCUCAUUAUUUAAUUAUCACAAGAGAAAUCUAAAGAGUCUAUUCACUGACUGCUGAAUAAAUGCUAACCUGCAACAUUGGUCAUACUUAGACACUUCACAUUUUUACUGGUGCAUAUGGGACCUGAGCACUGUGGCAACAAGUUCUGAGUCAACUGUGAAGAGCCAGAAGAGCUGAGACCCUGCUUAUUUCAACAGACCAAUCAAGACAGACCAGCCCAAAAGUUUCUUGAUACUGGAUUUUAUAUUUCUGCUUUUUAGAGGUUCAAUGGAUGUAAUGCCCAGCAACUUCACCUGUGGUUUCUGCUAUGCAUGGCUCCAACCAGAGGGUUUUCUAAAGGUCCUUCUUGGUCCCAUUAGGCAGCUGUGAAGAGGAUGGACAUGGAUGAUCAAGUAAGAGAGCAAAGGAGGCAACACAGCAAGCUGAAGGCUGGUAACUUCUCCCAUCAGUGAUAAGGUACACAGCAGGACAAAGCAUCAAUGGCAAAGCCUCAACUUUUAAUUCAGGAACUCAUUAAAUGAUUACACCCAAGAAGUUGUUCCAGGCUAAAUUCUUUUGUCAAGGUGAGGAGAUGUCAGCGAGCUAAUCUCCCCAUUGCCUCCAGAUCCCUGCCCACAAGCCUGCCUGCAGCAAUUGAUGGGGAUCAUUCCACUCUUGAGGAAUACAAGAACACAUAGAGAUAUUCGCUGUGGAGAUCUGACUUCUCAUGGGCUCUACUGACACAACCUGCAGAGCAUGCUUACUGUUUGCAUGUAACCACACAAUUCAAUAUGCUGGUAUUGCCCUCUGAAAACAAGGAAGAAAUAACUGGUGUGAUCAGAGCUGACAAACUUUUCAUCUGUUCUCAUUUCACAUCAUACUCAUCAGAAUAACAUCUUCCUUCUUGUAUAUCAUUUAGUUCCAGGGCAGUAAUGCCCAGUUCUCUGCCACUUUGCUAUCCCUUGUUUUGGAGAUCCACCACCAGCCAUUAAUGAUCUGCUCUGCUGGCCACUGUCAUCACAGUGUGCCAACAUCCUGCACAUUCAAUAAAUCCUAAUGCAUCUCAGGCAUGAUGAUGCAAAGAAAAUGUAAGUGCUCAAAGAGAGGUCUCAAGAGACAGCACACUAAAAGUCUUGUAUCAGUGCUUCAGUCUCAGAUGGAGCCAUCAAGGUCUUUCAUACUGGCUAUCUGUUCUGAAAAGACAGCAUCUCCUCUUGAUAAUGGUCCUGUUCUUGCCUUUCCAUCCUCCAAAAUGUAUAUACUGCCCUUUGCAUUUACACUCUGGUUUUUUCUUAGUCCCAGCAUGCAUUGCUCUCUGUAACACUAUAUCUUUUGAUAAAAUUACUUUUCUGUCCACCAUACCACUAACAGUUGCACUUCCCAGAAACAUUCUCCUGAUAAAUAAUGCAGCUGGUUGUAUGAUGCAUACCUGUGCUAGAGUCUAGCACUGUAGCUUUGGGCCUCAAUCAGUAGUUCUUCCUUGUCUAUGACAACAGCUACCAUAAAAUAAAAAGGGCCUUUUUUUUUAUAGUAGGCCACCAGCCUAACAGGAGCUGUAAAAGGAAAGGAUUCUGCUUGGCAGACAAAAGUAGGACAUCAGGACCCGGUCUCAUUCUCAGUUCUGGCUCAAUGUCAUGAUUAUUUCAUCUUGCUGGGAAAUACUCUGGUUGGAGACAUGCUACAUCUCAAUUCAGCUGCUCCCAGCUAAGAGGAGAAACUCAUACAAGUGAGUUUCAGAUCCCAAUUCUGAUACAUAUUAAAUACAAUUUUUAAUGCAACUGUCAGGACAAAAGGCUUUACUGGCCAAUGACCACUUCUGAAGAAAUAAAUCAAGGAUUUAGGGACAACAUAGGGACCUACAUCCAAAAUUAAAAUGGAAAAGAAAACCAAAACAAACAAACCAAAAACCAAACCACUGGCUCUGAGUAUUUGGGAAUUUUUUCCUUAUACUAACUCGUUUAAAUUCCUCCACUCCUAGAGGUGCAAUGCUGAGCAUGCCUAGAAUAGCCUUGCUGCUAACCUGCUUGAACAGGUUACCAUCUAAGCCUAAUCAGUUAUCAAAGAUUGGAAUACAAAUUCUCUGUAUUAUUAGUUAGCAGUCAGCCAGACAAAUCUUCCAGUUCAAUCUUCCAGGCUUAAUACAGCUAGUUACAGAUUUUCUGAGAAUGGUCAGCAUUUCAUUGCAGGAACCAGAUGCAACCACAGCCCUUUCUGUAACAUAAAUCCUGAAUUGCCUUGUCAUUUGUGCUCCAAAAAAACUCUCACUGCUCUAGCCAGAGUCUGGGCUCCAGCACUCCACUCAGCACUUUUAGCAUUCUCACAGCCCUGUUUGCCCAGAUGGAGACAGGUCUACUGUGAGCUCAUCACAUGCUGAGAAACUUUGUUCAGAAUUUGUGCAAUGACACAUACAAUGAAUGGUUUGUGGGACUUGUCUACAAAACCUCUAGCUCCAAAAUACAAGCCUCCACCUAUUAAGCACAGGAGUAGCUCCAUUAGAUGAUAAUAUGAGGAAAUUAUGUACUUUAUUCAGACACCUAUAGGAGAAGGGUGCAAUAAUAUCUGUCUAUUGAGAAAAAAAUAAUGAAAUACUCCAAAAUCCUUGGUGGAAAGAGCUCAUAGACCUUGAGUUCUUAAGGAGCAAAUGAUCUAUGAUCCACCAUUCUGACUUACUUUUUCCUCCAUUCAUCUUUAUGCCCUAGAGAGGUAUUUCUAUUAUGCAGCUCUAGUUAUCUAGAAGCUGGAUAUCUAGUCAGAGUUGAUUGUCUAAGGUCAUUUAAUAGUAGAUAUGCAGACAGCUCCAGAGGAAGAGUCACCCCUCCCACCUCAGGCCCCUCCUUUAGUCUCUCCAUAUUGAUCAGAGAAGCUGAGAUGACUAGUAAAGCAGCUGCUUUAAAAUGAUGAGUCCCCAGAUACUACCCUGUGUAUGCAACUAGACUCUGGAGUGGGUGCAACAGAGAGCCUGACCCCGUGCUGGGCCAGGGCUUGUUGCAGGCAGGGCAUCCUGCCAGAUCCUGCUCCCACUGCCAGACUUGCUCCAGAGCCACAAGCACCUGGCUCAGGAAGCACACGUUCUUAGUGGAGUUCUGAGUGGAGCAGGAGAUUAAUGGUCUGGGAAAGAUGGUGGUGGUGAUGAUGAUGAUGAUGAUGAUGAUGGCGUGAAGGAGAUACAAGAAAAGAGUGGUGGUCUCUUCUCUCUCCUCUCCCUCUCCCUCUCCCACUGACAUUGGCAAUCACAUUGACAGCCAGGUACUGUAAAUCCCAUCACACAGGUCUCACACUUGCAUUCUUGUACAAGCUCACUUGUUACUGUGAGUGGGCAUGUCAGAGAUGUGGCUGCCAAAGCAAAGCUGCUGGAGGGAGGAGAGGCAGUGCUACCUCAUCUGCAGACCAGAACACACUGCUCCCCAUGCUACAGAAAACAGCCUCUGUGAGGUACUUAUGGGAAGGACAGGAAGACAACCAGCAUUCAGAUGUCCUGAAUAUGCAGAUUUAUAUUUGGAGGCUGUUAGAAAUAAAAUAUUUUAAAGCAAUCACAUUAAUCAGGGACUUCUUAUGCAUUUGCUGCAAUGAAACCCAAAUGAAAAGAAUCACGAGUGCACACUGCAUGUAAAGGUUAAUCAAAGGCAGCUUCUUCUUUUGGCAGCUACAUUCUUCUCCUGGUCUUUGCCAAGAAGCAUUUACUCUGUUGUUUUUCUUUCUUUUUUUUUCAUUUUUUUCUUUUUUCCUUUCUUUUAAUUAUAUAUGUGCAAUUCCCACUCUCAGGUUUUCUAAAAGUUAUAUCAUACCCAUUUUACAUACAUGGAGAAGAAAAUGGUGAACCUGUAACAUUUCAAAUUCUACUUUGACAAAUGGGUUUCCAGUAGUUUUGAUUGAGACUUUUCUAUAUCUUUUGUAGAAAGGGCUGACGUAUCCUUUUCUGCAGACAUUGGAGGUAAUCCCCUUAAGAAAACCACCUGAGCUAGCAGAAAACCUCAGAGCAGCCCCUUUGUCAAGCAGCUGUGCAGGCAUGUUGAUAUAUUUGUUUUGGGGACAAUGCCUCUUAUACACUGACCAGCUGGGAAGUAUUUGGAAACAUUUUAUGGAUGGAUUCAGCAUUAAGUGAUGGGGUUGACUGCAGACUGCAGUACAAGAUCUGCAGUAGUAUCUAAGCCAGCUUUCAACAAGCCCAUGCCACUUUUGGAAGCCAUUUACCUGGUAACAUUCACCUUGGGGAAGCACCGAUGUCGCCUGUGCUCUCAAUCACCCAGGCAAAUCACCUCACAGAGCUUCAAUCACAGCUAAGCAAUCACAGGAGCCCCGAUGGCAGAAGUUGCAAGAGAAGCACUAAAUCAAAGCACCACCAUUCAGCUGUACAGUGUCCCUGCCUCUCUAUGUGCUGCUUCUGCUGGAGGUGGAAUGCAUCUGUCUGUGUGGGGCGAGACUUGUAGGGCUUCCCAGACCGUCCUGCUGCUCUGAGCCAGUGCUAGGACAAAUCCAACUGGGGAAGCUUGGUCCUUUGGUACAGAAGCAGGGCUGACUUAUGGCUGCACUCUCUGCCAUAAGCACCACACUUCCCAUAAAUCAUUAAUUUUUAACUUCUUUCAGUCUAUGCCAGGAGCUGUACAAUAACCCAUACUCAAUUUUAAAAAGAGACUGAGAUAAGCCAAGAUACUACCUUUCCUCUUUGAAGGAAUUUUGCUCUCUGAGGCCUAGUAGGUGCAGUUGGACUGUUUGCACAUUUCACCAUCUCUGUCCUUUCCUCCUAGCUCCUCACUGGACUUUUCUCAUCACAGAAACUCUCUAAUAAUUUUCCUCAUCAUGUUCUUGUGCCAUUUCUAAAAUUUACUCUCUGAACUUUAGUGUUGUUUAAAUUUCUCUUUCUCUCCUUUUUCCAUUACUAGAAAGGUAUAAAGGCUAAAUGAGGUGAAUGAGAGUUUAACCCUACAAUGUAGUUGCACUUUCCCAGUCAAGCCCUGGUUCUUAGACUCAAAAUUCUUACAUUAAAGUUUCUCCUUCAAACUUAGAAUAGAUACAGCUAACAUGCCAAAAAUUUUGAAGGCAAAUUUCUGAGCUCCUUUCAGCCUUCUAGGUAAAAAACUAAUUCUGGCUCUGCUCUCAAGAUACACCAAGUGUCAUGCUGUCUUCUUCAAAUCUUCACCUGAAAUGAGUUUCCGUCUUGAUUUCUUACCCACCUUUAGACUAUUUAUUUAAAAAAUUCUAGUUCAUCAAAUAAGUUUGCAUGGAAGGUAUAAAUGAGAUCAAAAGCCUACUUUGUCUGCUUUUAUUUGUCCAUGCAAAGCAGUAUAUGUUAUAAUCUCCAUGCUUUUUCCCCUUAGAUACAGUGCCUUUAAAGCACUUGAUACCAUUGCAGCAUGUUAUCUACACCUGCAGUAUAAAUAUCACUCACGCUGUCCCAAGCACUCAGGGACAUUCUGGUGACAUUAUGAUGGGUACAGCACAGCAGAAGGGAGGUGGGGUGUUCUGCACCUGGGCUUAGCCAUGGGACAUGGUGGUGGUUGUUGUGCCACACAGCCGUGCCUCUCCAACUAGCUGGGAUCCACCCAGAGUCACUCCAAGAAGGGAUAAAACACUGCUUCAGUUUCAGCAUGGAAAGUCCCCCUGCUGUGCAAAAAUCCAUAACUACCAAACCCCUGGCAGGGGCUAGCAAUUUUGCUGGAGGUCUUGCUCAUGACAGCUUGUCCAUCCAGGUCAGGAAAAGGUGGAUGGAUGGAUGGAUGGAUGGAUGGAUGGAUGGAUGGAUGGAUGGAUGGAUGGAUGGAUGGAUGGAUGGAUGGAUGGAGUAGCCCUGGGAAACCUGUAUGCCACAUGCUGCCAAAAACCCAUUCAGUGUAUGAUUUCCAUCUUCCAUGCAGUUUCAUAAAGAUUUUUCACAGCAUAUAAACCGGAGAAGGUCAGGAUUUCUUCUGGUUAAAUGAUAUUGUUAGUCCGUAGAGAAAUACACUUUUCUUGCAAACUGAACAGUUACUACAGAGGAAUGUUAGUAUAACUUUGAUCAGAAAGGGUCUGUCAGGUACAGACAGGUAAAUAUCACCUAAGAAUGGUUUUGUUUUAGUCGUGGAACAAAAUUCACAUUUCCUAAAACAAAACAAACAAAACAAGGUGAAAGAGAAUAAGAGAAAACUGAUAGAAGGGAAGGGCUAAGAUCUGAUAAAUGUUGGAGACCGUGACCUAUUACUUCUGAAAUUACUGUGCUGUGAAAAUAACAGUUUGUUCUGUUCUGCUUAGGAAUUUAGGUACACAAGACAAACAGCAUUUCUCUGUUCAAAUACAGCUUUUCAAUGGAGCAAAUACAUUGGUAAAGAUCACAAGCUGUGUUCUAACAUUUUUUUUAUUCCACCAAAUUCUCCUCAGUUUCUUUGGCCAUCUCUUAUUAUCUCCUUAGUAGACACUAGCUCACAACUUUUCUACAUAUGCUGUUUGUCUCACUGGUAUUGCAGGACAAAGUACAGCCAUCCAAGAUAUGUCUCCAGCGAUAAGAUGAUUCAAAACUGUUCAUAUGACUUAUGUGCUACCUAUCCCUACAGAUACAUUUUUUUGCUUCACAGCUGCCUUUCCAGAUUUUAUCUCAUUGCCACUUACCAUAGUAUUUGUUGUGUGGGCGUAUUGCUAGCGAACACAGCCUAGCUAGAUUUACUUUAAAAUGCUGUGAAUUCAAACUGCAGUAAGUUAUUAUGCCUUAUCAAAGUGCAAAUAUUAUGUUCCUACCCACAUGCCUCUUGUUAAGCUGCAGGUCUUUAGACUGGAGUCCCUUCCUCCUACCCAGUUAGUAUAAAAAUCUAAGCAAAGAGUUAGGGUUCCAUUUAUGUUUGGAAAGUUAAAUCAGUGAGUCCAAAAGGAAUUUAACCAAUAUUUUGAUUUUGUGUGCUGUGGUGUAUGGCUGUGGUGUAUAUCAAUAAAAGUUCUUUAUCCAAAAAACUCCUUCUUUCUCUCUCCUAUCCCUUCCUAAUCUCCACUCACCACAGCUCAAGCGCACAGUAAAGGUCCUAUUAGAGGAGUCAGAAACAGGAAUACAGUGUA